CAAGACCAUAAUACGUGCGAGAUUUAUCAAAUUCUGAUGUAAGAAUUACAGGCUUUCCUUACUGGUUCAUCUGAGCUUCUGGCAAAGUGGAACGGCCUGACUCCAACAUCCUGUGAGGCGACAGCCUCAUCAUACAGCUCAACUCAUCGACCACAAUAGAGGGAGCAGAGCCAAAACAAUGAGCUCUGCCUUUAGCUGGCUUCCGGAAAGCCUCUGGAGAGGUGGCCAAUCACAAAAACUAGGGCUGGGAAGGUAUGCUUUUCUCUUCGAUUCUUCCACAAUUUUUUUGAAUGCCAAUUUGAUUUAAAUUGCGAUUCCACAAUAUUGUCGAUUUUAAGUCUGCAUUUUUAACACCAGGGAAACAGUUGAAUGAUUAUGAUUGUCUACUGACUAUUUCAGGAAGCAUAUUCCCCCACAAAAUACACAUCAUAUGUAAGUCAGUUUUUUAAAAAGUGUAAAAAGUUUUUUGAACAAUAAAAAUAAAUUUGAAAAUUGUAAGACAAAAAAUUGCAAUACCUAUAUGAUUAAUUUUUUUCUCCCACCCCUGACAAAAAUGCGGGCUUGUGAUUGACCUUGAAAUAACCUAUCAAGAUGUGAACCUUGAUAGGUUAUUUCAAACCUAUCAAGGUUUACACUUGGUUUCAAAUAAUAUUCUCUCCAAAUAUACCGUAUUUAUGUAUACCUCUUACUGAGAUUAAAAGAAGGCUUGGCCUGGUGAAUCAAUGCGUACUACAACUUAAAAAGUCUGGGGGAACCUUGCAUCAGGAUUGAAGGCCAUAUUGCAACUCCAGCCCAAGAAUUUAAAUAGGCUAUCUCAGUAAUGUGGCCUCCUCAACUUAAAAAAAGAAGAGAAAAUGCCUUCACUGCUCUUCAGAUUUGGAUUGCAUUUUUAUCUUCAUCUCAGUGCAGUGACACUUCAUAACAUGAGAGGCAAUUUAGGUAAUGGCAAGCAGUCUACUUAAUAAACUUUAAGACGUACAUGAGGGUUGGUAAGAAUGUCUCUGCUGAUGUGCUGCAGCUCAGAAGAGAACUGCAGAAAAACUGGUACGCUCAGCGAGUGGAGGUGCAUGCCUAUAAUCAGGUCUUUUUUCAUUUCCAAGAAAUGAAUCAUUUUAAUUUGAAGAAAUCAUCCUAAACACAGCUGCAAACAUAAUGAAGAGGCAAUCACCAACGUGGUUUCCCAUCCCUUAGGGUUGUUUGAUGUUCUCUGAUUAAAGGAAACGGGGGAGUGGGGGGGUGAAGAAAAUUAACAGCCAUGACUCCGUUUGUACUUAAAACCAACAUUUAUUGUUAUGCUGAUAAAAUUUUAGAACAAAAACCUUUUGUGCACUGUUUUGAAAAGAUUUGACACAGUAAAAAUUAGAAGACCCAGAGUGGUCCAAUUCAAAGACUCAAAGCUCAUGUGUCAUGCAGGUGUAAAUAAAACCUCAAUUUAAUUAUGGUACUUAAUUUGAAUAAUUCACUUACUGAAAAAAUAAUAAUAAUGAAUGCUUUCUCUCUUGCGAAUCAGCACCUCCAAGUCUGAG